rnacentral:lncRNA from 1 species
GCGGCCGCAGCGCCAUGUUGGAUGCUCUGCUCGUUGAGUGAAGAAAAUCCGUCCGCAUCGCCCGAGCCCCGCUACCGAGAAGGGCGCCGCUUCCCCCGGGGAGGGGGACAGAGACCCCCCGCCGCCGGCCCAUGAGGAUAUUGCCGUGAAAGGCUCAGCGGCUGCAGCAGGAACCGGACCCGGCACCGGAGCGGCGGCGGCGGCGGCGGCGGCGGCGGUACCGCCUCCUCACCCGGCGGCGGCGGCGGCGGCAGCGGCGGCGGCGGCAGCGGCAGCAGCGGUAGCGGCGGCCCCUCCUCACCCGAACAUCAGGGCCCUCCAGACCCCGGCGCCCCAACAAAUUCCUCGAGGACCGGUGCAACAGCCUCUGGAGGAUCGGAUCUUCCCUCCCACGGUCUCUGCAGUCUAUAGCACGACCCCUUAUCCCUCUGGACAGAAUGCAGGUCCAGCCACAUUGGUCUAUCCUCAAGCCCCUCAGACAAUGAAUUCACAACCUC